AUGUUGGGUUAAGUCCCGCAACGAGCGCAACCCUCGUUCUAUGUUGCCAGCACGUAAUGGUGGGAACUCAUGGGAUACUGCCGGGGUCAACUCGGAGGAAGGCGGGGAUGACGUCAAAUCAUCAUGCCCUUUAUGUCUUGGGCUUCACGCAUGCUACAAUGGCCGGUACAAUGGGCUGCAAUACCGUGAGGUGGAGCGAAUCCCAAAAAGCCGGUCCCAGUUCGGAUUGAGGUCUGCAACUCGACCUCAUGAAGUCGGAGUCGCUAGUAAUCGCAGAUCAGCAACGCUGCGGUGAAUACGUUCCCGGGUCUUGUACACACCGCCCGUCAAGUCAUGAAAGUCGGUAACACCUGAAGCCGGUGGCCUAACCCCUUGUGGGAGGGAGCUGUCGAAGGUGGGACUGGUGAUUAGGACUAAGUCGUAACAAGGUAGCC
rnacentral:rRNA from 1 species